rnacentral:lncRNA from 1 species
GCGAGUUGACUGAGCAGCCAGGUAGAUAUGGGUUCAGAUCUCUGCUUCUGUCCUGCUGUGCCAAGUGCUGGGGCAGACGCAGGCAGAGAGUGGACAGCGGCAUGGUUCCUGCUGCUAGCCAUUUCUAUGCAAAACCAGAUGUCUGGUCCCAUCCUGGAGGCCAAUUCUAGGCCGGGCCGGGAUCAGAUGGGAAGCGGAAGCUCAUCAUGACCAGAAACUGUUACCCUACGGAGAGCACUUGGAGAUGGCAAUGCUGAACCUCACACUGUAGGACUCACACACGACUCUAACGGGAUUGUGAGAAUCAAGUCACUCUCGUGGGAAGAAUUUUUAUAUGGGAAAGCGGCUAAAACUUUCAUUGGACUGGAAUGUUUGGAAAAUGUUAAAUUCCAAAUCAGGAACCACAAACUGCCCUCUAAUAAGACAUCAGCUAUCUAAGCGUGUGGGUGCCGCCUUUCUGCCAGUAGUUCCGGUUCUUAAGAAAAUCACCAUAAAUCAGACAUGAAAAUUCUGGCUCCAAAAAUAGCAUUUUCUUUGUGCAAAUAAAAACGUGUGUAUCACGUAUGACAUUCCCCCAACGUGGACACACUUGGU